rnacentral:rRNA from 1 species
GAUGAACGCUGGCGGCGUGCCUAAUACAUGCAAGUCGAACGAACAGACGAGGAGCUUGCUCCUUUGACGUUAGCGGCGGACGGGUGAGUAACACGUGGGUAACCUACCUAUAAGACUGGGAUAACUUCGGGAAACCGGAGCUAAUACCGGAUAAUAUUUCGAACCGCAUGGUUCGAUAGUGAAAGAUGGCUUUGCUAUCACUUAUAGAUGGACCUGCGCCGUAUUAGCUAGUUGGUAAGGUAACGGCUUACCAAGGCAACGAUACGUAGCCGACCUGAGAGGGUGAUCGGCCACACUGGAACUGAGACACGGUCCAGACUCCUACGGGAGGCAGCAGUAGGGAAUCUUCCGCAAUGGGCGAAAGCCUGACGGAGCAACGCCGCGUGAGUGAUGAAGGUCUUCGGAUCGUAAAACUCUGUUAUUAGGGAAGAACAAACGUGUAAGUAACUGUGCACGUCUUGACGGUACCUAAUCAGAAAGCCACGGCUAACUACGUG